GAACGGCUGAGUCGUCGGUCUAUUCCCUCUUCUAGCCAAAUUGC
rnacentral:sRNA from 1 species